rnacentral:rRNA from 1 species
CCUACGGGGCGCAGCAGUGAGGAAUAUUGGUCAAUGGACGGAAGUCUGAACCAGCCAUGCCGCGUGCAGGAAGACGGCUCUAUGAGUUGUAAACUGCUUUUGUACAAGGGUAAACCUGAAUACGUGUAUUCAGCUGAAAGUACUGUACGAAUAAGGAUCGGCUAACUCCGUGCCAGCAGCCGCGGUAAUACGGAGGUUCCAAGCGUUAUCCGGAUUUAUUGGGUUGAAAGGGUGCGUAGGCGGAUUGUUAAGUUAGAGGGUAAAUGUCCGAGCUAAACUCGGGAACUGCCUCUAAUACUGGUGAUCUAGAGUGUAGGUGAGGUAGGCGGAAUGUAUGGUGUAGCGGUGAAAUGCUUAGAGAUCAUGCAGAACACCGAUUGCGAAGGCAGCUUACCAAUCUAUAUCUGACGUUGAGGCACGAAAGCGUGGGGAGCAAACAGGAUUAGAUACCCGUGUAGUC